GGUCGGUUAGAUCAGUUGGUUAGAUCGUGAUGCUAAUAUAUUGUGUGAAAAAAACAUAACUGUUACGUCAAGGCCAUGGGAUCAAGACCCAUACUGACCA
rnacentral:tRNA from 1 species